UACGUAGGGUGCAAGCGUUGUCCGGAAUUAUUGGGCGUAAAGAGCUCGUAGGCGGUUUGUCGCGUCUGCUGUGAAAAUCCAGGGCUUAACCCUGGACCUGCAGUGGGUACGGGCAGACUGGAGUGCGGUAGGGGAGAUCGGAAUUCCUGGUGCAGCGGUGAAAUGCGCAGAUAUCAGGAGGAACACCGGUGGCGAAGGCGGAUCUCUGGGACGGUACUGACGCUGAGACGCGAAAGCGUGGGGAGCGAACAGG
rnacentral:rRNA from 1 species